UACGGGGGGGGCAAGCGUUGUUCGGAAUUACUGGGCGUAAAGGGCUCGUAGGUGGCCAACUAAGUCGGACGUGAAAUCCCUCGGCUUAACCGGGGAACUGCGUCCGAUACUGGUUGGCUUGAGUUCGAGAGAGGUGGGUGGAAUUCCUAGUGUAGAGGUGAAAUUCGUAGAUAUUAGGAAGAACACCGGUGGCGAAGGCGGCCCACUGGCUCGAUACUGACGCUGAGGUGCGAAAGCGUGGGGAGCAAACAGG
rnacentral:rRNA from 1 species